AUUUCCUGGUCGGCGAAGACCCAAGUGAAUUCCCAAAGCAGGCGAUGGAUAGUCGAACAAGCGAUAGCUUGUUUUCAGUGGUUCGCCAUCGACAUUCCGUUCUGCUGUAUUUACGUUGAUGUUGGGAAAAAUGCAACGAGUACAUGGAGCCACAACCCGAAAGACAGCGUCAUCGCCGAUGCGUAUCCACUGCCAAUCAUCCUCGGCAUAGGGCUUAUCGACAUCCAUUUUCAACUCAAAGUUUCCGCGAAAUUGUAAAGGCUCAACGGGCUGCUUUAGUCGUGUGUUCAAAUCAGCAAUAGAAGCCAAAUUCAUGAGCAUAUAGCUCGUUGCAUCGUUAAGGGUUCCCUGCAAAAUUCGUCAUUAUUGUAGAUAUCCUCAUCCUAUGUAUCAUAUGUACUAUGUAUGUAUGGAUCCCGUUUGUCAGUCUGUAUGUGUGGGUUGUAAAUUGUAUUUUUUUUUUUUUAAUUGGUCACUCCUUCCGUUUUAGCGUCAAUCAAAAUUUAUUCAUUUAUAUAUGUAAAAUAAAUAAGUAUAAAUUAUAUCAAGGGAUUCAAAGAACAAAAUUAUCUCGAUUUUCAAUAUUUCCAAAACUAUACAAUAGAAAGUAAUAUGCAGUAAUAAGGUUUUAUGUAAGCUACAAUGCUGCUACUUACAGAAUCUGUUUGCCGUAGGAAUGGCAUGUGUUUCAUAUCAGGAGUAGUUGUACGCACUGGCACAGAAUAAGGAUAAUACACCAGCUUCAAGCCCGAAUCCUUUUUGAGUAUGAACUGAGAGAACCAAGUGU